AGGUGAGCAAGAUUUUGCUAGAACCCCAAACUUCCUUCGUUCCAUUGUCAACUCAUUCAAGAGUGGAUCUGUAGUUACCAACAUGACCCUCGUGUUCAGGAACAAAUCUUCGGUUCCCAGCGCAUGCAGCUCACAGGCAACUUUCACCAUCAGUUCCACCUCCCUGAACAUCCUACAGGGCAGUGUCAAUGUUGAGUCAUCAGUCAAUUCAGGAAGUGCUCCCCGACCCACUGCCUUCUGUCUGGCUUUCUUGCCUCUCACUUUGGCACUGCUAAUGGUACAGUUGCUGGCUAACUAAUAGCCUGUGUCAUAGCUCCUAUGGCAUUUUUUUCACCAAUGAACAGUUUUCCAGCUCUCAUAGAGACAGCCUUAUGAUUAAGGACCUGCUUUGGCAGAAGAAUGCACAAUGGAUUGUGCCUGUGUUAAUUGGCAAAAUGUAUAUGUAUUUCAUGUACAUUCCCCCAAGUACAUACACAAACAAAACCACACCUAAUUGUACCUUUUGAUGUCAAGUAUGAUAUUUGUGACAUUCCCUAAGAAAUCAUAUAGUUUUUUUUCUGCUAAUGAAUUUUAAAUGCAUAUACCUUUACUUACAAGUGACUGUAUUUAUACUUAACCAUAUAGGCUCCAAAGACAUUACUUAUUUAUUUGCAUCUUGCACACAGCAGCUUGCACAUGUUUUAUCUGUUAGAUUAAUAUGGAAAAUAACUGAAAGAUUAGAAAACCGUUCCUACAACAUGUGACAUCCAAAUCCUAUUGUAUAUAUUUUUUU